AUUUAUCACCAAAACACACCAUUAUCAAAGGUGCGAAAGGGCCUAGAUGAUGCCUAGGUGCUUCAAUCUCUCCUUUUUUGGUGAUAGAUGACAACACAACAAGUAGAGAUAUAGAAUUUGAAUCUAAAGCACAUUUCAACACAAUUAACGCAUGGAAAGAUAUAGAGAAGGUAAACAAGCACACAAGCAUUAACUGAAAGUAAACCACACAUAUGAGUAGACAUGUCAACACACCAACAAGCACAAGAUCAAAAUAACAUGUCUAGACAUGAAGAUCCACAAAAGAAACAAUACACUCCCUCCAAGCUCCCCCUAUCUCUA
rnacentral:lncRNA from 1 species